CGUAGGUGGCAAGCGUUGUCCGGAUUUACUGGGCGUAAAGAGCGCGCAGGCGGUCGUGCAAGUCGCGUGUGAAAGCCCCCGGCUCAACUGGGGAGGGUCACGCGAUACUGCUCGACUUGAAGGCAGGAGAGGGAAGUGGAAUUCCCGGUGUAGUGGUGAAAUGCGUAGAUAUCGGGAGGAACACCAGUGGCGAAGGCGACUUCCUGGCCUGUUCUUGACGCUGAGGCGCGAAAGCUAGGGUAGCAAACGGGACUAGAUACCCCGGUAGUCCUAGCCGUAAACGAUGGACACUAGGUGUUGGUGGUAUCAACCCCGCCAGUGCCGAAGCUAACGCAUUAAGUGUCCCGCCUGGGGAGUACGGCCGCAAGGCUA
rnacentral:rRNA from 1 species